rnacentral:tRNA from 1 species
GUCAGGAUGGCCGAGCGGUCCAAGGCGCUGCGUUCAGGUCGCAGUCCGGUCUUCCGGGCGUGGGUUCGAAUCCCGCGUUCUGACA